rnacentral:tRNA from 1 species
UAUUCGAAUAUUAAGAAAAAAAUUUGAAGUUUUUUGUUACAAAAAAAAGUUUUUUGUGUCGAAAAA